UGGGCAGCUGCUGGAAUAGGAGGUCCUGGGGUUUAAAGGCCAGAGAACCGACACUUCUGUUGUUCAAGGGCAGGAGCAGAGGGAGGCAGACAGCAAGCUAACCCUUCUUUUGCCUUUUUAUUCCAUCUGGGCUCUGAGCUGACCAGAUGAUGGCCAACCACACCAAGGGUGGAUCUUCCUUCUUCAGCCCACUGACUCAAACACCAAGGUCUUCUGCAGAGACUCAUGCUCCCACAGACCCCACAACAAGGCUUCAACAGCUACCUGUGUAUCCCUUCAUGCGACUGAGAACGGGAGCACUGGGUUUGCACUAACUUGGCUCUCCAGCAGCAAGUCUGUGGGUGCAUAUGUUGUCUUGCCAGUGCAGGAUGCAAGGCGGCCACUGUUGAGAUGAGAGACAAUGCCUGGAUCCCAUGCAGGGGAAAUGGUCUUGUGAAAGGCACUGAAGACGCAGAAGUCAAAACAGAAGCAUGACGAGUACGUGGCUCGAAUGUCAACUCUAGGCUUCAGGUGUUGGCGGUGAUGUUGGGAGGUGGUCGGACCUUUAACAGGCAGCCCCAGUGUGAGGGCCUUGGGUCACUGAGGCCCUGACCCUGGAGGAGCGGUCUAGGAGCUGCAAGUGUGAGCCUGAGUCUCUCUCUGGUUUCCUGUUUGGGGACAGGCUCUCUGCUGCUCACACAGGCUCCUGCCUCACAAGAAUUGAGCUGGAGUUGGUGCCGUGGCCUUGAAUCUUCCUGAGUGAAGUAAAUCAACUUCCUUUCUCUACAGUUAACCUGCCUCAAGCAUUUAAUCACAGCAAUGAGAUGCACAAACAUGAGUACAACCCCUCUCACACGGAUGAGAAGCCGGGCCCACGGUGGGAGGCCCCAGGCCUGGAACCCUCUGGGACCACCACCGCGCGGCCGCCCCCCGCGCGCCCCGGGGCCGCCUCACCCGCCUUCAGCCGGAUCACGCAGACGGCCAGCCACAGACGGCACACCAGGCCCAGCAGCUCGCCCAUCGCCUCCGUCCAGCCGCCUGCAGCCGCCCGCCUGCCCGCCGGCCUCGGGCUUUAUAGCCUCCAGCCGGGCCCGCCUCCUCCGCCCUCGGGGCACCUGGGGCGGCCCCUCCACGUGAGUCCAACAGGUAAUCGGCUCAACCAGACACAAACCUGUGAGCCUCUGACGCUGGUGAUGCUCAGCUGCCUUCUCAUUCUUGCGGUGAGCCCGACCCCCUCCCCGUCUGAGACACUGGCCCCCACUCGCAGGCGCCCCUCCUUACCACUGUUGUCCCUCACCCUCAGGGAUGGCCACACCCUCCCGGCCACACCCUACGCAGACCCUGCCCUUAAGUCCUUUUGGUCUCCUCACUUUUAGAUCAGGCUUCUCUUGCCGGGAUUGGGAGUGAGGGCUGGGGGUUUGCGUGCUGGUGCCAACGUGACUGGGCCAGAGGCUGCCUGGGUGGCUGGCAGGGAGGUAUUCCUGGGCCGGCCUUCCAUGUUCCCUAAGGAGACCAGCGUUUGCAUUGGUUUAAGGAGAGGAGCAGAGGCCCCUCGUCUGCCCCGGUGCUCUGAGGGUGCAAGCAGAACGCCAAGGGGAGAGGCACGAGUUCACGGUCCCUGCUUGGCCGGGGCGCUGUCUCCUGUCUCAGUUGCCAGGGCUCUUGCUGCCCAGGCUUCGUGACUCCUGUAGGGACCCACAUCUUGUUCCCAGGCCUCCAGUGUGGCCGGCACCAUGCCCUGGCCUUUCCUGGCCUCCAGCUCACGGGUGGCAAACUGCACGGCUUCUCAGCUUCCAGAGCCGUGUGUGCUGGGGACGGUUGACAUGCGGCCGGGUGAGGCACAGCCUGCAGCACCGACAUCCCAUACUGGAGUGCUGGUUCCAGUUCCAGCGGCUCUACUUCCGAUCUGGCUCC